rnacentral:tRNA from 1 species
GCCUUCGUAGUAUAGUUGUCAGUACGCUCGGCGCGCAUUCGAGAGGUCCGUGGUUCAAAUCCCGUCUAGGGCA